GACGAACGCUGGCGGCGUGCUUAACACAUGCAAGUCGAACGGAAAGGCCCUGCUUUUGUUGGGUGCUCGAGUGGCGAACGGGUGAGUAACACGUGAGUAACCUGCCCUUGACUUUGGGAUAACUUCAGGAAACUGGGGCUAAUACCGGAUAGGAGCUCCUGCUGCAUGGUGGUGGUUGGAAAGUGUCGGCGGUGGGGGAUGGACUCGCGGCUUAUCAGCUUGUUUGUGGGGUAGUUGCUGACCAAGGCUUUGACGGGUAGCCGGCCUGAGAGGGGGGACGGGGACAAGGGGACUGAGAUAGGGCGCAGUAGGCAACGGGAGGCAGUGGUGGAAAAUAUGGCGCAAUGGGGGGGAGCGUGAGGCGGAAAUGCCGCGUGCGGGAUGCCGGCUUACGGGGUGUAAACAGCUUUGGAAUGUGACGAAGAGUGAGUGACGGUAAUGGGUCAAGAAGCACCGGCUAACUACGUG
rnacentral:rRNA from 1 species